AGUUUGACCCCCUUAGGAUUGAACCUUCGUGGGUAUGGAUGUUCAUUUUCUGGAGAAAAUUCAUGGUUGAAGGCUGGAAGGGGUAGUGGUUGGUUCUGUUGUUGGGUAAAAAGGAAUUUCUUGUUGGUGGUGUUCAACUUAAUGUUGAAGGUUCUCAUGCUGCUGGUGCUUGGAUCUGGUAUUGUCUGCCAUGGUUAGGGUUGUAAAUGGUAGUGUAUGGUGCUGUUUGGGUUAGUGUUUGGCUUGGAAAAUGGGUAG